GGGUGCGAUCAUACCAGCACUAAUGCACCGGAUCCGAUCAGAACUCCAUAGUUAAGCGUGCUUGGACGGGAGUAGUAUUAGGAUGGGUCACCCUCUGGGAGGUUCUCGUGUUGCAUCCU